rnacentral:lncRNA from 1 species
AUUCGUAGAUAAAGAAAUUCUCUCUCUCUCUUUCAAAAAAAAAAAAGUUUUUAUUUUUUAACGGUAUAGUAUACAAGCAGCAGAAUGCCAAAUCAUCUUUUUUGAUGAAGGAAGUUGAGAUUACGUAUCGUGAAUCGACGAUUUUCUAAUAUUGACUUUUGCAAUGAAUUAUAAAAUUACAAAUUUGAUUCGAAAAAUACAACCAUGAUAAUGUAUAUCAUUCGGAAGUGAUAACAGCGUGGUGAACACGAUAAGAGUGAAAACGUAGUUAGAAAAGUAAAUACAUUUUUUAAAAAAAACCUUUUGCAAUUAUAUAUACAUUUAUAUAUAUAUAUAUAUGUUUAUCAUUCGCUAAUCCUAUUAAUGCAGUUGAAAUACAAUAAAUAAAUAGGUUGGUAUAUGAUAGAUACCAACCUCUUAAAAUCAAAACUCAAGAAUUUGAAUUUAACUUGAAUGGUUACGAAUAAAAAUUUUUUUUUUUUUUUUUUUUUUAAUAGAACUAUGAUUCAUUCACAUAUGCCAACGGUAAUUUUCCUUUUGCCAAUUAUAAAUUACAGAUUAGUCAUAGAUAAUUGCAAUAUCGUAUUGUUUUGUAAUUGUCACAUAACUUUUCUUUUUUUUUUCAUCGAUCGAAGGUCAUAUUCGAUCUUCUCGUAAAAAUGGCUUAUUAAUCUAAUUUAUAAGAAUGCGAAACAUGAAUGCGAACUCGUAACAUGGCAAUUAUCCGAUAGAAGGAAUAUUUAUAAGGAAUGGAAUAAACGCGUGCGAUAUACAUGCAUCUAAAUACAUCACGUACUGCUCGAUAGAAAAUACACUAUUGAAUCCAUUCCUAAUGUAAGCGAUGACGUAUUGCCGUAUCGUUCAUAAUAUCUAGAAUGACAUACUUUUAUGAACGUGAAAUUAUAUUUUUGCCAUUUUAGAAAUUAUUUAACAAAAUUUAUCUUACAAACGCAAAAUCCAAUGAUAAAGGAUAUUUAACGAAAGAGAAAAGGAUAAUUGUAUUUUUUUUUUUUUUUCAAUAUUCGUCGAAUAAAAUUUUCUUCGUGAAAAUUUUUAUAUACCUUCAGCUGUAAGGCAAUUACAAAAAAUUGCGAAAGAUAUUUAUCACUGUGACGAAAUCUGCAUUGUUUCGUCGAAAAAAUAUGAAAUAAUCAUCGAGUUUUUAAUAAUAAAAUAUUCGUAAUAUUGUAUUCAUGUAUAAUAAAAUUUGAGUUUAAAGAAACCUAACCUAAGAUUCAUAAAAAGAAACGAUUAAACGAAAAUCAACCACUCGUGCAUUUUAUCAUCAUAUUUACGAGAGGCUUAAACUAAAGCAAUAAUUGAAAAGUUUCAAUUACUUAUUAACCUCACAAAGUAUCGUUUCAUUAAAGUGUAAUGAUACUGUAUUCGCUUUUAUGUAAAUAAAAUAUUAUUUUUUAAUCGAGAAUAAGAUAAAACUUACUCGAUUCCUUGAUUUUCCAUCGUAUGAAAAAAAAAAAAAAAUUAUUAUAUCAAAGAAAAGAUCAAAAUAGGGACAAAAAUUUCACUAGGAAAGUAAAGUUAUUACGUUACGUUAAUACCAAAGAUCGAAAAACUUUUAUAUUCGCAAAAAAGAAUCGUUAAACAAAGGUGCAAUGUCUUUUAUUACCAGAAUACGUUUCGUGAUCUAACCAUGAAAAAUCUCAAUUGUUUCCAACAAUUCGCAGUUCAUUCGACGAACGACAACAAUAUGCAAUUUUGAGGUUAGCAACGUUAAUCGAGCAAUGCCGACGAGUAUAUAGGUUAACGCUAUGUUUAACCAACGCGAUGAUCAAACAAAUAAUUCCGUGAAAAGCGGAUAACAAAGAGCGGAAAAAAACUAGAGUGACACGUAAGAUGAUGAAAGAUUAAAACGAAUUCAAUUUGACUGUUGAACGGAACGCGAAAUGUGACGAUCGCGUUUCUCGUAUUAUAGUACGUGCACAGUGUCACGCGCAUUACCCAUCAGAGGUGACAUUCAUCUUUCUUUCGUAAAAAUACCGGCUAAUUAACCACUAUGCCUAUCCGACCUUGCAAUUAAUCGUACUGUCGCGCAUGGAUACGUGUUUGCUUCCGGCGUAAUCCCUGAUAUACUGCCAAUAGGCUUCUUAAUUACAACCAACCGUUCCGAAUUACACUUUUCGCCAGAGAUAUAGGUUAAACGAAUAUAAUGAAUAUCCUUUUGAAAUAAGCAUCGUUAAAAUAACGUGCACAUUUCGUAAUUACGAAUUACGAUUAUCAUUAGAUUAGACGAAUAUAAUGAAUAUCCUUUUGAAAUAUACAUCGUUAAAAUAACGUGCUCGUGCACAUUUCGUAAUUAGAAAAUUCAGAUCGAACACUGAGUAAAUUAAAUAGAUGGAAAAAAAAAUAUUAUUUUAAUAUUCAGAACGAUUUAUUAAAUUGUUGGAAACAUUUGAAUCCAUAAAUACGAGUUCGAACGGAAUAAUUGAAUGUAGUUAAAACUAGUUAACAAGUUUGUCUCAUAUUUUAUGAUAAGAAGUUUAUUACUUAUAUUAGUUAUAUAUUGUAAGGAAAGUUUUAAUGUUCGAAAGAUGAACGAAUUUAAAUUUCAGAUACAUCGUUCACAUGUAAACUCGGUUAUAUAUCUAUGGACAAAUAUAUUUACUGAAAAUAACUGGUCUCUAUUUGCACAGCUUGAAUAAAUAAAGCCGCAGAAUCUUCGAUGCAAUAUAUCUUUUAAUAUGCUUUAAAUAUCACAAUUGUUUCAUUAACGCAUAAAAUAACGAUAUUGUUAUUUAAAAUAAUUAAAUUAAUUUUAAAUACCUUUAAAAAAAUUAUUACUAUUAUUAAAAUAAGAAAGAACGUGUUGAUAAUUUGCAUUACAGUUUACAAAUUAAUUAAUUUUAGAAAUUGUAAAUAAAUUACUGAUCAAAUAUUCAUAAAUAUAUAUGUCAUUAUUAUAAGUAUAUAGCACAAUGUACAAAAUUGCCAAUAUUGAUGAACAAAGAAUAACAAUCACUUGAACUUUAUACAAAAGAAUAUUAAGUUUCUGAAAUACAGACGACGUACACCUCGCUUAAUCCAAUUCAAACGAUAACACAAUCAUCGGAUUAGAUACACAUGACUUCAGGAUCAUGAGAAUCCUUAUAGAAGACAUUUCAUUGUUUUGGCCUAACAAAUCCAACACAUGGAUAUAUACUUUGAAUUUAAAAUCAAGACAAUAAAUAUCAAAUAACACAAAUGUAAUUAAAUACGUUAAAUGUAUUGAUUAAAUUUUAUGAUAAAUACCUUAUUCUAAACUUAUUAGGUUAAGACUGAAUCGUGUUUAGGUUAGGUACGCAUUAUUUAUUUUGAUUCGAUUAUCUCAUGAUGGCUAGCUAAUUAAACGGAUUUACUUAGUUUGGAUUGGCUUGAAGUUUUCAAAGAUACUUAAAAGAUACGUUUGACAUGCAGAUUAAUAAAGGAUUACGUUUCAACAAAGCCAAUUAAAUCUAAAUUAAAAUCAUAAUUUAUAAAUGAAGUUGAGUUAAAGAAAAUAAUAAAUCUAAUCUAACCUAAUCAAAAUCUUAUACAAACCUAAAUCCCUUCCUAAAUGUAAUUCUAACUAAUUCAAGCUAGACCUAACCUAUCCAUCUAAAUCUGAAUCUAUCUCAAAUUACAAAUUGAAACAUUUAUAAAUAACACACAGGAUAAAAAAUAUUUUUAUAUAUAUUUCAAAAAUUGAAAAAUGAUUGAUCUUGAAAAUCAGAAUCAAUGAGAUAUCUAAGUAAUUAUCAAAUAUAAUUUAUAAUUAAUAAUAACAUUUUGUAAACUGACAAAUUCUAGUUUCUUUUUUUUUUCCCCAUUGAUUUCACACAAAUCAAACGUGUUAAACUUGUGGAAAUGGAUAUACGUGUAUCAAAGAUAUCAUAAAUAUUUAAUAAAAAGAACGAUGACGUAAGUAACUAAUCUAAGUUGUAGUGUUUACAUUAGGAACGAAGUCAAAUCCGAUCUAUCUAGGAAAAAUCACAUUCUUCGAGAAUCGAAAUAAAUCACAUGUAUAACAAUCUUAUGCAUAUUUAUAAACAAUAAAGUGGAUCACAAAACUGAGCAAAAUGUAAACGAUCCAAAUAUCUGUUAUCUUAAUUUAAAUAGUAUAAAGAAAUAAUUCAAUGAU